GAUGAACGCUGGCGGCGUGCCUAAUACAUGCAAGUAGAACGCUGAAGGAGGAGCUUGCUCUUCUGGAUGAGUUGCGAACGGGUGAGUAACGCGUAGGUAACCUGCCUGGUAGCGGGGGAUAACUAUUGGAAACGAAAGCUAAUACCGCAUGACAACAGUUAUUGCAUGAUAACUGUUUAAAAGGGGCAACUGCUCCACUACCAGAUGGACCUGCGUUGUAUUAGCUAGUUGGUGAGGUAACGGCUCACCAAGGCGACGAUACAUAGCCGACCUGAGAGGGUGAUCGGCCACACUGGGACUGAGACACGGCCCAGACUCCUACGGGAGGCAGCAGUAGGGAAUCUUCGGCAAUGGACGGAAGUCUGACCGAGCAACGCCGCGUGAGUGAAGAAGGUUUUCGGAUCGUAAAGCUCUGUUGUAAGAGAAGAACGAGUGUGAGAGUGGAAAGUUCACACUGUGACGGUAUCUUACCAGAAAGGGACGGCUAACUACGUG
rnacentral:rRNA from 1 species